GUUCGUUCCGCAUGGCGCGCUGUGUCAUGCGGAAACAUCGAGAAAGUGAUCGGUGGCUGACAGGACACAAAAAGGGCGAUGUCAUUGUCUUCGUUGUGUCUGUACACCCGUAUGUGGUGUGGUGCUGUCGGGAGUUGUGAUAGCAAAGUUAUGCAAAAGUAAACCGAAGAUCUUCAAGAAGUUAGUACAGUAGAGUACUUGAAAACAAUUAGUAUCAGUAGGGUACAGAGCCACAGAGAGAGACUUUCUUUCUGUAUACUCAAGUAACAUAAUCUUUCCAAAGAACGUCAUGUCUCAGUAGACAACAAGCACUACACCAGCAACAGCAGCAGCAGCAGCAGCAACAGCGUAAUCACAAAAACUGAAAAAGCAAAGCUGUGCAAGAAAUCUUGCAAAAGAGCAAGGAAACUGGUGGAUUUGUUGUGUGCAAAAACAGGCAGUUUUCGAGCUAUAAAUUGUAGGCACAAUU